AGCGAGAAGUAUGAUUUGUCAGUGUACCUAUCCGUGUGUUUUAACAGAAUACCGAACAGAUUCAUCAUUUUCUUACUUUCCUAACGAUGCGGCUAGACAACGACUUGUGGAGUUGGGUGAGGCUCCCAACUUAGAAAAUGCUGGGCGUAACUUUAUCAAGUUCAACAUUAAUUUUAAGGAAAUGAUCGUUGAAACCAUUGAACACAAACCAGAAUACAGUACCGAUAAGAUUUUGGGUACUGUUGGUGGCUAUCUUGGGCUUUGUUUGGGAGCUAGUCUCAUUUCAGUUGCCGAAGUCAUGGAAACUGUUAUAACCAAAUCCUGGUUUUUACUAAAACAAUUUGUAACCUUCAAAACGAAAACAACCAAAGUUCAAACUUUUCAAUCAUCAUAAUUUUGUUUUUGAUCUAAUCUUUUCUCUUUAAUUAGAGGGAAUAUUGCUUUGGAACAACAUUGGCAUUUAUUGUUGAGUUGAAUACAGUAUAUCAAAAUUCAUUGGGAUUGGACCAAGAAGACACGAUU